UGGAGUCUGAGGCAGGUGCAGAUGACUCUGCUGAGGAAGGGGACCUUCUGGAUGAUGAUGAUAAUGAAGAUCGAGGGGAUGACCAGCUGGAGUUGAUCAAGGAUGAUGAAAAAGAAGCUGAGGAAG